CUUGGUCAGGAAGUCCUUGGUCCGGUCGCAAUCGGAGAACUUGCUCCAUGGUCCCACGAAGAGGUGGAACUCGCAGUCGGUCGCACCCACCGUGAUCGGCGUCUUGGCCGAGAACUCCUCGAGCGCCGGAUUGACGUAAUGUGUGAGCGCCUGGAACAGCGGGAAGUACGUGACCGCGGCGAUGAGGCAGCCCGCGAGAAUGAUCUUCAGACGCCCGAUCCUGUCGGAGAGCCAGCCGAACACGAUGAAGA
rnacentral:misc_RNA from 1 species